rnacentral:rRNA from 1 species
AUUGAACGCUGGCGGCAUGCUUUACACAUGCAAGUCGAACGGCAGCGGGGACUUCGGUCCGCCGGCGAGUGGCGAACGGGUGAGUAAUGCAUCGGAACGUGCCUAUCAGUGGGGGAUAACGCUUCGAAAGGAGUGCUAAUACCGCAUAUUCUCUGAGGAGGAAAGCAGGGGACCUUAGGGCCUUGCGCUGAUAGAGCGGCCGAUGUCGGAUUAGCUAGUUGGUGAGGUAAAGGCGCACCAAGGCGACGAUCCGUAGCGGGUCUGAGAGGAUGAUCCGCCACACUGGGACUGAGACACGGCCCAGACUCCUACGGGAGGCAGCAGUGGGGAAUUUUGGACAAUGGGCGAAAGCCUGAUCCAGCCAUGCCGCGUGAGUGAAGAAGGCCUUCGGGUUGUAAAGCUCUUUUGUCCGGGAGGAAAUCCUGGCCUCUAAUACAGGUCGGGGAUGACAGUACUGGAAGAAUAAGCACCGGCUAACUACGUGCCAGCCGCCGCCGUAAAAC